GCCUGGGUGGCUCAAUCAGUUAAGCAUCUGACUUUGGUUCAGGUCAUGAUCUCACUGUUCGUGGGUUCAAGCCCCACAUCGGGCU
rnacentral:tRNA from 1 species